UUCAAAGGUCUGCGUUGCCAGGACAUCGCAAACAGUUUACAAAGAUGUCGACUUUAUAAUCUGAAGGGAACCAAAUGGCUAAAGAGGUUUAUAUGUUCUUACUGCUCUUUUCCUCGGCUCAGACUCAAAACACUGUCGUUUUCCAGCCGUCCUAUCUCACUGCAACUGGACCCGCGGUCUCUGCACUUCUGCUCGGAAACAGCUCGGACGUCUCUCUUAAUCUGAGGACGGUGUUUCCAUCCAGCACAGGUAAACAACAAACAGCAACAGGAGUCAUUGGUCCUCCAUCAUGUGUGGCCGAGGCGACACAGUGGGUGCUCACAAGGGAGCAGGUGGGAAAGACUGCAGUUCGAGUUCAUCUGAAUCUGGAUAAAAGUCUGCGUUUGUGUGGUGAGAAUGAGACAGACACAGACUGCUGUCCAAAGUCACUGUGUGUCCUGGAAACUCUUCAGGUGUCUGCCUGUGUGGGUGGCACACCCCAGGCUUCACUGGUGAUCCAGGCCAAGAUUUAUGCCCUGCUGGUUCCUGCUAAUGCUGGAUCUGAUAAUAAAACAUCCAUUCCGAACCAAGUGUACCAACCACUGGGCUCUUGUCCCUGUGAUCUUACAUUCAAAUCAUGUGAUGUUCGCUGCUGUUGUGACAAGGACUGCUCCACUGAAGAUUUGAAGCUGUUUGAGUCUCAGUGUCUCCUAGGGCCCUUUGGUGGACAGGUUUCUCCUGCUCCAGAUUAUCAGUGCUCUGUGCAGUCCUCUGAAAACUCCCCAGAUUGGUUUCCAUUUUUAUGUGUCAAUUCUUCACCUGAAAACAACCCUUACCUUGGCCUCUUUUACCAGGGAGACACAAUUACACCCAAGCCUGGCCCAACCUUCCAAAGGCCUCCAUUGUCAGCUCCAGUACCAGUUAAUGUUUAUACUCAAGGAAGUCCCAUUUUAACAUUAAAUGACCAAUACUUCACUAUUCCCCAGAAGGUGCUUGGGCUGUGUGCAAACAAUGCUCCUGUAGCAUUUCUGAAAAAUUUCAAAGUCAAAUGUGUAACUCUGCUACGUACCUGCCCAACUGGAUCUCCCUUACAGACUCUACCAAUGGAUUUACGGGUUGAAGUGAAGAAUGGGCAAGGGGGUGAUGUUAUAGUGGAUGUAACUGAUGAAGUGGCCACUGACUUAAGUCAGUUUAUUUCAAGCACAGAUGCUGUUGCCUCUUCAGAUGAGUGUGAGAAUGUGACCUUAGCCUUGGAUUAUAAAUUCUACUGGAAAGGCAAUGGCAUCACAAGUAUCACACUGACGCGCACUGUGGGGACCAUCUCUGUGAAUGAUAGUGUGAUGUUAACAACGAGGUAUUCUGCUGUGUUUCUAAAUGGAGAAAUCAUGGGUGAGCCCAACUCCGGGAACCCAGGUUAUCAGGUGGGAAGGCCUGUUAUUGGUGGAACUGUGGACACUUUGGACAGUAAUACAGUCUCAAUUCAGAGGACGUCAAUCAAUCUUUGGAAACCAGUGAAUGAUGGAAUGUGUUCUGCUAAUGAGAAGAAACCAGUUCUGUUUGGGGAGAAUUCAACAUCAGGAUGUCUGCUACCCAUCAGCCGACAGAAUCUGACUCAGUGUGAUCUCCUGAGAGAGACUGUUACUUCUCUCCAGGCAGCUUUGACUACAGCCACAUAUGUGGCAAGAAGUGGAAACCCAAAUCCUCUCACUUUGACAGACUGGAUGAAUAUAAGCUUUGUGACGCUGAACUCAAGCACAGCUAUGGAAGACACCGCAAGUUCAUGUUAUGGGAUUCCAUCCCACCAGCACAUCCGUGUUUGGAGUCUUAUCACUGGCAUGGUAGAGGGCGUACCUCAAAGGGAUAUCCGUGCUUUGCAAGUCAGCUACAGCCUGUCCACCUGGGAGCUGGAUUGUGGAGGAAGUGAUGUCUUUCCAUGUGUGGACCCAGCGGAAACUCAGUUAUUUCCCAUCACCUCCUCAGUCACUUUUACUGACAUACCUAUCAGCACAGGACCACCAAAAACCAGGUUUCAGAUCAACUUCACAGAGUAUGACUGUAACAGGAAUGAUGUGUGUUGGCCCGAGCUAGCCUUUCCCAUCACCAAGUAUUACACAGGUGAGCCAUAUUCUCAGUCAUUGGCUAAGGGCCUUAUCUUGGUUUUCUUCUUUAUCACUGCCUCCAUUCUUGGGACUCCAUGGAGACAAAUCCGACAGGCUUGGAACAGCGCCUCUCUCUAAGAAGACUCUUUGUGUUGUUGUAGAGGAAGACACAUUUGGAGGGAUAAUAGCAGAGUCAGAAGCUAAACAAGAUGAUGAAUUUAAAUGUCCCUUAAAUGCUCAAUCCCUUCACAUACUUUUGAUCACAACAUCCUCAAUGAUAGGCUUGAAAAGUGGGUAGGCUUUUUGUGCAAUCUAAUAAUCUGAUUUCAGUACCAUGUAUCAGUAUGUUUCUUAUUGAGUGCAUCAGGGCACAAUUCUGGGUCUUAAUUUAUUCAAGUUUUAGAUGUUCCUCAAGGGGUUAUCACCCACAAGCACAAUAUUGUUAAAGUAUUGUGCAGAGCCUGUGCACAAUGUAACAUAGCUGCUGAUUCUAGACUCCCU